GGGUUCAGUCGGUCGGGGAAAGGUGCGUCCGACAUAUCUUCGGUCGGUCGUGAGCCGAUAAUUAGCCGGUGAUGGCAUCCGUCAGUCGGUCGCCCCGACCGACGAUCGGUCGGUCGGAGUCGUCAGUCGGUCGGGCCGCCAGUCGGUCGGUCGGGCCGCAAGUCGGUCGGGCCGCCAGUCGGUUGGGCCGCCAGUCGGUCGGUCGAGCCGCAAGUCGGUCGGGCCGCCAGUCGGCCGGUGGGUAUCCCCCAAC
rnacentral:lncRNA from 1 species